rnacentral:tRNA from 1 species
GGCUUAAUAGUUUAAAUGAAUAGGGGCCUUGUAAGUCUAAGGGAUAGCAGUAUGUUAUUUAGGCCU